UUUAAAUGCUAGAGCUCUUAGCAACCACAUUUGUGAAUGUAUCAUUUUCUAAGUAAUAUCCACCAAAUAUCUAUAAAAAAAAUUACAUAGCUAUUGGAAUUUGAACCAACUCUCCAAAACCACUAAAUAAUACUCUUACUAAUAAACUACAAAUAUUUAGUUAUAUAGGAAAUAUUUGCAAAUUUUUUUAUUUACCUUUUUUAGAAAGAGCUUUGGGCACAUGUAAAAGAAAAAAAAUAAUAGCCCAAAAGGGGCUAAAGCCACUCCUAGGCCUUAACUAGGUUCGCCCAUACUUAUCAAUCCAAUAGUGUUAUAAUCAAUUAAAUGAACUAACAUGAGGAUCAUUUGAGUACAUAUAAUAAGGCUACAAUAAUUAGGCCCGUAAUUUAACCAGUUCGAUUAUUUAAUUUCAAAUCCACUCCACUAUAAGAUUGGAAUUGACCUUCAUAAUUGUAUGCUAUCUAGAAUAAUGUUCUCAAAUAAUAAUUUGACCCAUGCUAUAUUGAUUUCUUUAUUGAAGAAUCCUUUAUACCACAUUAUUAAUUAAAUUUAUGUCUCAACUGUCCAAUUAGUUUAAUUGCAUUUUGUUCCUUUGACACUUACAAGUUUUAUGUAAUGAUCAUUUUUAACAUAAUAUUAUGUCGAUGCACUCCUGCUAAAAAAUUCUAUGAUUAGGUACCAAGUACCCAUUAAAAGAUGUGUUGUAUAAAUUUUAUAUUAUUAACCUAUAAUUUCAUUGUUCAUAAUUACUCCUACGAAGAUACGAUGUAAUCUUGACUACAAAUAUAAGUCUUGCCCAUUGGUAACUUAAAAGUAAUAACAACCAUAAUCAUGAAUCUAUAAUUAACCCAAAAUUGAGAUUGCAGUAAAAUCAAUGCUUAUGAGAUUUAAUAAGCUUGAUAGUCAUUUCAAAAUUAAAUCUUAUAUAUGAUCUAGUUCAGUGAACUCAAACUACAUCAAUAAACUCACACAUGAUUAAGACAAAUGAUUCAAUGAAUUUCCCAAAUUCUAAACAUAAAUAAAGUACCUCACUUUAUUUAUCAACUGUGAACUCAAAUUAUUUAAUUAUAAGAUAACUUGUAUUUAUGUGUUUUGUGAAUUCAAUUAGUGAUCACACAAAUACAUAUAAUAUGAUUAAAUAAACCUUACUCAAAUUAUUUACACUCAAGAUAUUCCAAGAUUAUCUUAUUAAUUUUUAUUAGUCAGAAAACAAUAAUUACAUAAGAUCCUUUAGAGAGCAUAUAGUCCAAACACCUUUUUUAGCCUAAUUUGAUCUAACAUCCAAAGAGAAAUCAUAUAUAUAUUUUUUUAAAAAAAUCUAGAACAUGUAGGACUAGUGUUAUACAUCUAUGUAGUGACCCAAUCAAACAUUUUAAGACAUACGAUGUCAAUAAUCAUUAUCAGCAACUGAUAUAAGAUAACCCACUUUGUAGGUAAAAACAUACUAGUAUGGUUCCCAAGCAAAACUGAAGUGGUCACAAAUGGUGCCACAUAAAACCUAGAAUCCUUAGACAAUAUAUAGCCUUUGUAACAGAAGUUUCUUGGUGCACUUAAGCUUGGUAAUAAGCCCCUUACACACUUAUCACAAGUUUAUAAUAAUAAAAUUGAAAUAGUUAAAAUAUAUUUUAAAUUAUAACAAUAUGUAAUAAUACAAAAACAUUAACCCAAGAUCGGUAAAGUUACAGUAUCCUUAAAAUAGAUUCACCACCUUUUCAACAAUGUUUAGAUUAUAUAAGCUCCUUCCUCCUAAGAUACAAUGGGUUCGAAUAAUCUUGGUAGCACAACCUUAGUAUUCCAGUGAACUUCAAACCAGUGUUUAAAUUCUAUCACAUAAAAUUUCUAAAGUUAAAGAGAAUUUUCUUGAGAGACAAGAGUAGAAAAUUAAUUGGAUUUUUUGUGUAGUUUGUAAAUGAAAUUGGAAGCCAAUUUAUGAAGUCCAUGGAGGAAAAUUUGGUUAAAAAAAUGCAUUUUUUUCUGGACAAACUCUUGAAUUUAAAAGUCUAAUUUGAUUUUUUAAAAUUUAAAUAUAUAGCAGUUGCAAUUAUCAGCAACUUUUAAUCACUUGUAGUAGUUUUUAAAGAUGUGUUAUCCCUUGAAGAACAACCAUGUUCACCCUUUUAGCUGUUACUAUUAUGCUUCAUCAAUUUCCAUAACUAUAGUUGUUACAACAUCUUAUUGAUUUAGCUAUUAUCCUCACAUUUAAUUUUAAAUUCCAAUGCAUUAUGAAAAGAAAAUGAUAAAAUCAAACCAAGACUAGUUGACUUAAAUUUGAUUUAGACGACAUUCACAGCACAUGUGAGUGCACAUAAGCCAAGCUAAAUUGACUGUGAAUAUCACCUUAUUCUUAUCACAUAUGUAAGUAUAUAUGAAGUCUUUAGUUCUUUGUCAUUUUCCAAUGUGGUAUUUGCCACUUUACCCAUCAUUUUUCUAAACCAAUGAUUGCUUUUUAACAUUCGAUUUUUCAUUUACUCAAGUACUAAUUUGAGUAUUAUAUAAUUCAUAGUGAAGAGAUCGCUAAAGAGAUUUCGAAUCAUCUAAGUACACUUACUCAAUAUUCAUCUUGCUCAAAAUUGACCUUAAAAUAGCCAUUUUAUAAUAAUUCCAUUUGAGCAUAUAUGAAAAGAACAACUUGAGUUAAGACUUAUCAUUUCAGGCAAUGAAAACAUUAGCAAUAGUAUAAUAAUCUUGUUGUUCUAUAGUUAUGGUUACAUCAUGAUAUGUGCCCAGAUAACAAGCAAGAGCCAACCAUGCUUCCCACGUACUUCGACCAUGCCUGGACUUAGUUUUUAGCUUGUUUUGAAAAUAAAUGGGUUCUGGACAUGUGGACCACGUACAACAUGUGCAAUAUUGCCCAUCUUUCCCAUUAUUUCCGUAUAUCAUGCAUUGUUGAGUUUAUGUGUAUCUUUUGUGGGUUAUAGGUAGUUAGUAACGGAAUUGUUUGCUCCCAUUGGCUUUUAUAAAAAGCCAAGUGGAUGUUUAAAGAGGGGGGACGAAAAAAAGAUUAUUUUCCCCAAAGCUAUUGUGUUCUCUAAAUUCUUUUCUCUCCAUUGCUAUUGUUACUCCGAAUUCUUGCCCAUCACAUAUCACAUAACUAACCCCAUCGUUUUGUUUUUGGAUUUGCUCUUUAUUUGUGGACAAUCCCUCUUAAAGGCCAAACUUUUUCACAAUGAAAGAAAAGGCUUUGUUUUAUACUUAUAUCUUUUGUUUUGGGUAAAUUUGGGACAUUAACUUGGACCAAUGGGCAAGUGAUGUUGGGAAAAUAUGCUCUUUAAAAGCAUAUGUGUUUAUUUAAUUGUAAUAAAUAAUUUUUCUGAUUAAUAAAAUAAAUGAGGUAUUUUAUUCAAAUAUCUUAAUUGCAUUAAUAUUUGUAUUCAAGGCUAUAUAAUCAUAUUAUAUGUAUUUAUGUGAUCACCAUGUGGAUUCACAGAAGACAUAAAUACAAGUUAUCUUAUGAUUAAAUAAAUUUAGUUCGCAGUUGAUAAAUAAAGUUGGGCACUUUAUUUAGGUAUAGACUGUAAUAAAUUCAUUGAAUGAUUUGUCUUAAUCAUGUAUGAAUUUAUUGAUGUAGUACGACUACAUUGAACAGGAUCACAUGUGAGAUUUAAUUAACUUUGUAAUAACUGUCAGACUUAUUAAAUCUCAUAGGCAUUGAUUUUACUGUAAUCUUAAUCUUGAGUUAAUUAUGAUUUCAUGAUUGUAAUUGUUAUUCCAUUUGAGUUACCAAUGGGCACGACACAUCCUUGUGGUCAAGAUUACCCGGUAUCUUGGUGGGAGCAAUUAUGAGUAUUGGAGUUAUGGAUUAACAAUAUAGAAUUUGUACAACACAUCUCUUGAUAGGUUUUCGGCACUUGAUCAUAGAAUUCUCUGGCCAGAGUGUGUCAACAUAUUUAGUAUGUUGAAAAUGAUCAUUAGAGAAAACCAGUAAGGAUCAAGGAAUAAGAUGUUAUUAAAUUGAUUGGACAAUUGAGAUAUCAAUUUAAUUAACGAUGUGGUACAAAGGAUUGUGCAGUAAAGAAAUCAAUGUGGCUUGGGACGAAUUAUUAUUCGAGCAUACAAUUAUGGAAGUCAGUUCCAAUCUUUUAGUGGAGUAGAUUUGGAAUUAAAUAAUUGUGCUAGUUUAAUUACAGGCCUAAUUAUUGUAGCCACUAUUGUAUGUUCCCAAAUGAUCCCCGGGUUACCUCAUUUAAUUGACUGCACCACUACUGGACUAAUAAGUAAGAUAACUGGCUAUUUGGGUCAAAAGCCUAAAUAUAUCAUUUAGUGGGAGGCUCCAUUUAAUUAGCUUUUGUAUAAGGGGCCUUAUGUUAUUUUACAAGGUGGGUCCCCUAUUGAAAAAGAAAAUAACGUGAGUUUUAUUUAGGGCAUUAUUUGGAGCCUAGGGUUUUCACUAAAGGGAGAUAUAUAAGGCUUAUUUUCUCUAAAGAAAAAAGAGAAACCACUUUAUACAGAUCAGAGAAUAAGAUUUUUCUCUCCAUUGUUGAGAGAAAAAUUUUCUCGUGCUAGUUGCUUUGGUAGUGAUAAAGGUGCCCACACAUCAAGUGCAGAUCGAACCUGAGUCAUAACCUGGAAGAUCAUUGGAGACUGUUCGUGAUCUAACAAGCGUGGUGGUGACGGAUCGUGAUCUAACAGGAGCGGUGGUGGCAGAUUGUGAUCUAGGAGCCUAAAACACUUCAGCGGAAAAAGCCAACUCGGAUUUUCAAGGUACGAUUUCUAGAAUAUAAAUUCUUAUAUAUUAUAUGAGAGCGAUCUUCAAAAGGUUUUAUAAAAAUUUAAAAACCUAAUUUUUCCUCAACAAUUGGUAUCAGAGCGAUCUCAUAUUAAUAUAUAAGAAUUUCGUAUGAAAUCAUUCUUGAAAUUUAUGUAUUAGAGUGGCACAAUUUAUUCAGAUAUAUAUUAUUUGUUUAAUAUAUGAAUAAAGCAAUUUUGGUUUGUCUUAAUUCAUGGUUAGAUGUUCUACUGUAUUUUUCGUUUGGAUCUGUACCAAGAGGGGUGGUUUAUUAUCACCAUGUUUCCCUCUUGAUUUAUUUUAAUGUAAUUAAAAUUUUGUAAGUCAAAAUUUGCGUUGAGAAUUUGUAAAUCAAUGAAGAAUCAUCACUGGAAAAUUGCGGAAACUUGCUGGAAACUGCAGCAACGAACCAGUGCAUGCAGCAGCGAGCGGCCAGCAGCAUACGCUGCUGCGCGAGCAGCAAGCGGCCAGCAGCACAUGCUGCCAGCCAGCAGCCACACUGCUAGCAGCUGCAGCAUGUGCUGCACAUGCAGCAACUGCAGCGCGCGAGCAGCAGCUGCAGCGCGCGAGCAGCAGCUGCAGCGCCUAAGCAGCAGCGUGAACGUGGGCUGGAGGCGCAGAGCGUUCUGGUUGGCGUCUUUCCGGCCUCGAUGACGGCUGUCUGGUGUGGAAACAGUAAACAACGGCUGGGUUUUUGUGCUGGUGGCGGCUGGGGAAGAAGAGGAAAAGAAAAUUGUGAUUUUAGGGUUCCAUGGUUUUUAUCGUGGAGGUCCCUAUAGCUUCAUAUUUUUUAGUUGGGCAGAAACGUUUUUUAAUUUUUUGCAUUUAAGUCCAAAAAUCAUUUUGGGCUUAAAGAAUCCUAGUUUUAGGCCCAAUUUCAAUUGGGCUUAAUGGAUUAAAAAAAAUGCAUAGACAAAAUUAAAUACAUUAAAUUUAUUUUUGGUCCAAAAGUUUUAAUUUAAUAAAAAAAAUUAAUUAUUUGUUUAUUUCCUUUCAAAAUUAAAAUUGGACCAAUUAUAAAUUUAAAAGCCCAAUUUCCCCUAGUCCAUUAACAAAAACAAGCUUAUGGAAGAUGGACAUUGACAAGAAGCCCAAUGAAGAUUAGGCAUAGGGUUAAUGUAUUUUUCAUUAUUAGGAAAGCCAUGAAUUAAGAUUAUUUAAUUGUUUUUCUAUAUGUUAUGUUUUGGAUGAUAACAUGCCAUGAUAACAUGUCAUAUAGAAUAGGUAGUGCCACUCUAUGCAUAAUGAUACAUGUCAUUCAUUAAUUAUGAAUUUCAUUAUAUUGUUUGAAAUUUGCGCAUGCUUAAUAAUAUUUGAUAUCAUCUAGAUAAUAUUAUAGGAAGCAUGCAAUUAACAAUAUGUAUGUUUUAAAAAGGAAAAACCAAUUUUAAAAUAUUGAGUGGGAGAGGGAAAAUUCAAGAUAAUUUUCCCACGGGCUCCAUUGUUAGUUCAAUAAUAAAAUUAUAUAUAUACCUCGACUUCAUGAUACGGUGAUGCUCCCUACGGAGGGUAUAUAUAUUAGAUAUUUUAUUUGAUGAACUUCUUCAAAGAUAAAAUUGAAAUAUUUUUCAAUCGAUUGUUCACCCCAACGGUGACUAUUGAUAUGAAAAAUACGUAGAUUGAAACAAUGGUUAUACACUCAACUAAAGUUUGUUAUUAAUCUUCCCAAUGAAGCUCUGUUAACAAAUUUAGGCCCAAAAAGAUAACGAUAAUUAUUUAUCAUGUCUCUACAUGAAAGUAAAUAAUCCAAUGGGUAAUUGGGUCUAGUAAGUAUAGACAUGACUUCCCCACCGGAUAGCUUGUCAAAGCAGUACUAGAUUAUCGUUACAAUAAAUUAAAAUGCAUUUAUGGUUUUUUGCAUUUUUGUCAUUUAUUGUGAAUAUUGUUUCAAAUUAUUUAUGCAUGGAUGUUUUUAUUUUUCAGAAAAUAUCUUCCCUGAGCCCACUUACUAUUAUUCUGAGUCAAAACAAACUCACUGGAGAGAACUAUAUAGAUCGGAAAAGAAAUCUAUUCAUUGUCCUGACUGCUGAAAAUUAUAAAUAUGUCUUAACCCAGCCAUGCCCCCCAGUUCCAGCGGAUGAUGCUCAUAGAAAUCAGAAGAGGCUUUAUGAGAAAUGGCAAAAGGCCAAUGAAAUGGCAAAGUGCUACAUUUUAGCCUCGAUUUCUAAUAUUCUGCAGACCAAACAUCAGAACUUGGAGACUGCCACUGAAAUAAUGGAUAGUCUCCAAUAGAUGUUCGGGCAGAGUACUCGCUCUGCGAGACAAGCAGCGCUGAAAGGAAUUAUGAACAGUAAAAUGGGGAAGGGCACAAGAGUUCGUGAUCAUGUCCUCAAAAUGAUGGACUAUUUGAAUGAGGCUGAGAUUCAGGGAGCACAAAUCGAUGAUAACUCAAAGAUUGACAUGGUGCUAGAAUCUCUGCCAGAAACAUUCAAGGAGUUUAAGGUCAAUUAUAACAUGAACAAAAGAAAUAUGACCUUAACUGAAUUGAUGAACGAACUCCAUUCUGCUGAAGAGAUCUAUCGUGCUGAGAAAUCUCUGGGAAGCAUAAAUUUUACUGAAAAAAGUUCAUCUUCUGGGCCUAAACCGAAAGGCAAAGGUAAGAAGAAAGCUAGGAAAAAGAAACCGUCUACCAAGCAAGAUGGCAAGCCGAAAGGCAAAUGCUUCAAGUGUGGACAGAAAGGUCACUGGAAAAAGGAUUGCCCUAAGAUUGUGAAAUCAGGUAUGGGAAAUCUUUUUGUAAUUGAGGCCUGUUUAGUUCAGAAUCCUAUUGACACUUGGGUGUUGGAUUCAGAAGCAACUAAUCAUAUUUGUAAUUCACUUUAUUGGUUUCAAGAAACCAGGAAAAUAAGUGAAGGAAGCGUCAAGCUGCAGUUAGGGACAGGACAGUUCGUGUUAGCAGUAAAGACUGGAUCUGUUUUAUUAUCUUUUAAUAAUGAGACUUUAGUUUUGAAUAAUUGUCUUUAUGUUCCAGACAUUAAGAGGAAUUUAAUUUCAGUAGCUUGUUUGUCAAAGCAAGGGUACACUGUAAAUUUUGGAUCCUCUGUUUCUAUUUUUCAUAAUAAGAGAUUUAUUUGUUCUGGUACAUUGGAAGAUAAUUUAUAUCAUUUAAGUCCAAUGAUCCAUUCUAUGCAUGACACAGUGAUAAAUAAUGAUGAGCAUACAUAUUUAUCUAAGAAAAGAAAUAUUUCUUCCAACCAAUGUUACCUCUGGCAUUUACGCUUGGGUCAUAUAAACCAAAAUAGGAUACAGAGAAUGAUCAAAGAUGGGCUCUUGGGUCCAUUAGAAAAUGAAUCAUUGCCACUCUGUGAAUCCUGUUUAGAAGGAAAAAUGACCAAAAGGCCAUUCUCGGCCAAAGGAGUACGUGCAACAGUACCACUUGAAUUGGUACAUACAGAUGUAUGUGGACCAAUCAAUGUACAAGCUCGAGGAGGUUAUGAGUAUUUCAUCACUUUUACUGAUGAUUACUCAAGAUACGGUUAUGUUUAUCUAAUGCGUCAUAAGUCUGAAGCUCUUGAGAAAUUCAAAGAGUAUAGGGCUGAGACAGAAAAGCAAUUAGAUAAGAACAUAAAGAAACUUCGAUCUGAUCGAGGUGGUGAAUUUCUCUCAGGAGAUUUCAAAGAGUAUCUGGUUGAAAAUGGGAUUAUAUCUCAAUUGACUGCCCUGGGAACACCACAACAAAAUGGGGUAGCUGAAAGAAGAAAUAGAACUCUUUUGGAUAUGGUGAGAUCUAUGCUUAGUUAUUCUUCAUUAACAAUCUCUUUUUGGGGACUAGCACUGGAAACUGCAGUUCACCUUUUGAACUUAGUUCCAUCUAAGUCAGUGCCUAAAACCCCAAUAGAAUUAUGGUCAGGUCGCAAACCAAGUUUACGACAUGUCCGUAUUUGGGGAUCACCAGCACAUGUGCUGAAACCAAAGGCAGACAAAAUGGAUUCACGUUCUGAGGUUUGUAUGUUUGUGGGGUAUCCCAAAGGAACAAGGGGAGGUUUAUUUUAUAGUCCUCAAGAUAGGAAAGUGAUCGUGAGCACACAUUUCACUUCCCUUGAGGAAGACUAUAUGAAUAACUUCAAACCUAAGAGUAAGGUAAUACUUGAAGAGCUGUCAGGUGAUCAGGUUGAUGCUCAGCUUUCAACGCCUGUUACAGAACAGGAAGAACAGCAACAACCAGAUGAUCAACACAGGAUUAACCCUGAACAACCAUCACUUUUAGAACCUCGUCGUAGUGGGAGGGUAACUAGGUUACCUGCGAGAUACAUGCUUUUGGGAGAAACCUAUACGGCUAUCUCAGAUGAACAUGUACAAGAUCCCACUAGUUAUAACGAAGCUCUAAUAGAUAGAGAUGUUGAAUUUUGGAAAAGGCCAUGAAUCAAGAAAUGAAUUCUAUGUAUUCCAAUAAAGUCUGGGAACUUGUAGAGGCACCAAAUGGGAUAAAACCUAUAGGGUGCAAGUGGAUCUACAAGAGAAAAAGAGGAGUAGACGGAAUGGUGGAAACAUUUAAAGCAAGAUUAGUAGCCAAAGGGUUUACUCAGAAAGAAGGAAUCGAUUAUGAGGAAACUUUUUCUCCGGUUGCUAUGCUUAAAUCCAUCAGGAUUCUGCUCUCCAUUGUUACAAUGCUAGAUUAUGAAAUUUGGCAAAUGGAUGUCAAGACUGCCUUUCUUAACGGGCAUCCUGAAGAAAACAUCUACAUGCAGCAACUAGAUGAAUUUAUACAAAAAGGCCAAGAACACAUGGUAUGUAAGUUGCAGAAAUCCAUUUAUGGAUUGAAACAAGCAUCCCGGUCAUGGAACAUCAGAUUUGAUCAAGCGAUUAAAUCGUUUGGAUUCAUUCAGAACAUUAAUGAACCAUAUGUGUACAAGAAAAAUCUGUAGUCUUCCUAAUUCUUUAUGUAGACGAUAUUCUCCUAAUUGGAAACGAUAUAGGAGUAUUGACUACAAUAAAGAGUUGGUUAGCAAAACAAUUUGAUACGAAAGACCUGGGAGAGGCAAGUUAUAUUCUUGGUAUCAAAUUACUACGAGACCGGAAGAAUAAAACUUUAGCCUUGUCUCAAGCGGUCUAUAUCGAUAAGAUAUUGGCUAGAUUUAGCAUGGAAAAUUCCAAGACUGGUUUAUUACCAUUCAGACAUGGAAUUACAUUCUCUAAGGAUCAAUCACCUAAAACAUCUGAAGAGAUAGAGAGAAUGAGACGAGUUCCCUAUGCAGAAGCUGUGGGAAGUCUUAUGUAUGUCAUGCUUUGCACUAGGCCAGACAUCUGUUUUGCGGUAGGGAUGGUUAGUAGAUAUCAAUCUAAUCCUGGACCUGAACACUGGACUGCGGUCAAGCAUAUAAUGAAGUAUCUGAAAAGAACUAAAAAUUAUAUGCUUGUGUAUUCUGGUGAUGAACUCAUUCCAGUGGGUUAUACUGAUUCUGACUUUAUGUCAGAUAAGGAUUCCAGAAAAUCAACUUCCGGCUAUGUGUUUACAUUGGGAAGUGGAGCUAUUAGUUGGAGGAGUGUGAAACAAUCUUGUAUCGCAGACUCCACAACUGAAGCUGAAUAUGUGGCUGCAUCUGAAGCUGCAAAAGAAGCUGUAUGGCUCCGCAAGUUCCUACAAGAUCUUGAGGUGGUACCUGCUGUAACUGCACCCCUUAAACUAUUUUGCGAUAAUAGUGAUGCGGUAGCUCAAUCUAAGGAACCAAGGAACCACAAGAAACAAAAACAUAUUGAGAGGAAGUAUCAUCUUAUAAGGGAUAUAGUGCAGAGAGGUGAUGUGGAGGUUACUCAGAUUGCGUCACAGCAAAACUUGGCAGAUCCUUUUACUAAGGCCAUACCUGGGAAACCUUUUAACUUGCACUUGGAAUCCAUGGGCAUGCGUGAGAUGCCAAAUAUGCUUUGAGAGCUAGUGGGAGAUUGUUGGGAAAAUAUGCUCUUUAAAAGCAUAUGUGUUUAUUUAAUUGUAAUAAACAAUUUUUCUGAUUAAUAAAAUAAAUGAGGUAUUUUAUUCAAAUAUCUUAAUUGCAUUAAUAUUUGUAUUAAAGUCUAUUUAAUCAUAUUAUAUGUAUUUAUGUGAUCACCAUGUGGAUUCACAGAAGACAUAAAUACAAGUUAUCUUAUGAUUAAAUAAAUUUAGUUCGCAGUUGAUAAAUAAAGUUGGGCACUUUAUUUAGAUAUAGACUGUAAUAAAUUCAUUGAAUGAUUUGUCUUAAUCAUGUAUGAAUUUAUUGAUGUAGUACGACUACAUUGAACAGGAUCACAUGUGAGAUUUAAUUAACUUUGUAAUAACUGUCAGACUUAUUAAAUCUCAUAGGCAUUGAUUUUACUGUAAUCUUAAUCUUGAGUUAAUUAUGAUUUCAUGAUUGUAAUUGUUAUUCCAUUUGAGUUACCAAUGGGCACGACACAUCCUUGUGGUCAAGAUUACCCGGUAUCUUGGUGGGAGCAAUUAUGAGUAUUGGAGUUAUGGAUUAACAAUAUAGAAUUUGUACAACACAUCUCUUGAUAGGUUUUCGGCACUUGAUCAUAGAAUUCUCUGGCCAGAGUGUGUCAACAUAUUUAGUAUGUUGAAAAUGAUCAUUAGAGAAAACCAGUAAGGAUCAAGGAAUAAGAUGUUAUUAAAUUGAUUGGACAGUUGAGAUAUCAAUUUAAUUAACGAUGUGGUACAAAGGAUUGUGCAGUAAAGAAAUCAAUGUGGCUUGGGACGAAUUAUUAUUCGAGCAUACAAUUAUAGAAGUCAGUUCUAAUCUUUUAGUGGAGUAGAUUUGGAAUUAAAUAAUUGGGCUAGUUUAAUUACAGGCCUAAUUAUUGUAGCCACUAUUAUAUGUUCCCAAAUGAUCCCCGGGUUACCUCAUUUAAUUGACUGCACCACUACUAGACUAAUAAGUAAGAUAACUAGCUAUUUGGGUCAAAAGCCUAAAUAUAUCAUUUAGUGGGAGGCUCCAUUUAAUUAGCUUUUGUAUAAGGGGCCUUAUGUUAUUUUACAAGGUGGGUCCCCUAUUGAAAAAGAAAAUAACGUGAGUUUUAUUUAGGGCAUUAUUUGGAGCCUAGGGUUUUCACUAAAGGGAGAUAUAUAAGGCUUAUUUUUUCUAAAGAAAAAAGAGAAGCCACUUUAUACAGAUCAGAGAAUAAGAUUUUUCUCUCCAUUGUUGAGAGAAAAAUUUUCUCGUGCUAGUUGCUUUGGUAGUGAUAAAGGCGCCCACACGUCAAGUGCAGAUCGAACCUGAGUCAUAACCUGGAAGAUCAUUGGAGACUGUUCGUGAUCUAACAAGCGUGGUGGUGACGGAUCGUGAUCUAACAGGAGCGGUGGUGGCGGAUUGUGAUCUAGGAGCCUAAAACACUUCAGCGGAAAAAGCCAACUCGGAUUUUCAAGGUACGAUUUCUAGAAUAUAAAUUCUUAUAUAUUAUAUGAGAGCGAUCUUCAAAAGGUUUUAUAAAAAUUUAAAAACCUAAUUUUUCCCCAAUAAGUGACAUGUGGCAAUAGAGAAUAAAAGAGAAGAAUAGUCAAAAUUGAGUGAAGGGAGUGUAGCUCAAGACAAGUUAGAGGUAAUUUGUAUGAGAGAAGACAACUUCAGUAAAAUUUUCUAAUACAAAGACCAAAAUGAAAAUAAAAAAAUAGCAAGUUAAGCCCCCACAUGAGUGGGCUACAUGUCAUCAAAAAAUAAAUAAAUAUAUUUGUCCUCCAGGCUAAAAAUAAGGGACCAAUGAUCAGUUGAGUAAAAUAAUGAGGAAAUGACACAUCAUCAACACUCGUCAAUUGUCUCUUGAAAAACAACAUGACCACUAUACAGUGUCCGCCACAUAGCAAAGAGCAAAGACCCUGCAAGGGUUAGGGAAAUUACUUGUUCACUAAGCUUAAUUGGUCAUUAUCAAAUGAACAAAAAUAUAUAUAUAUAAAUAGCCCCACCUAAGGAGGGCAGCACCAAUAGAAAUUUUCCAUAUGGCAAAAAAAGAUGAAAAUGCCUUUAGGGCCCCUAACUUACAAAUUCAACUUAAGACAUAAGAAAGGGAGGCCUUUUUCUAUAUCUAAUUUCUUAAAAGGCAACUUCAUCUUCUUCUUCCUUGGUUUCUAGAUUUUCUUCCUUCAGUUCUACAUCUCCAUAGAAGAUGUUGACUAUCUCAUCUCCCAAAUGAGCUUUUUCCUUAUUCUUCACCUAGAGAACUCUCUUAUCUCCACAAAACUCAUAUUCUCCCUUAUGUUAUUAUUCAUUCUAUGAAACUUAAAUAAGGUUUUGUUCAUAGUGUAAUAAAAAUCAUGUAAUAUUUCACAUACAUAGUGGAUUGGAGAUGAUUACUCAUUCUACCAAACUUUAAUAAAAGUUUUGUUCAUAGUGUAAUGAAAAUCAUGCAAUACUUCGCAUACAUAGUUGAUUGAAGAUGAUUACUCCUGCGGAUGUAGGCCAACUGGCUGAACCACAUAAAAUUUUACAUGUUCUUUACGUUUAUGCUUAUUAGGAUGAUGUUAAUGCCCAUCGUAUAUGACCUCACAUGAGGUCUCCCACAAACUCCACUGAGCUCUCCACAUUAUUCUAAACUCAACUCACCUUCCAAAUCAUUUCAACAAAAUCACCUUCCCCAAAUAGUAGGAAAAAAAAUUAAACUUUUAUUAGCCCAAUCUUCCUCUAAACAUAAAUUUAUUUGUUUAAAUUGAAUUUGACCUAGAUCCACUAAAUAAUUCAAAUCGAAUCUUAGCAAAAAUGUGGUGAAGACGUCUUCUAUGCUUCUUUCUUCUCAUCUCUGCCUUUAUUGAGAGUCCUACACUGUCUUUGUGAUGUAAUUUAUUUUAAAUUUCUUUUUUUUUUAGCUCAAGGCAAUUUUAACCUCCUUCAAUGCUAGUGAAUCUCACUGGUAACCUUUGAGCUAUCUAUGUGGUCCCUAUAUACUACGUGAGGCUUCGUGUAGGGGACAGUGGGGCAACCUUGCUCUAAAACCUAGAUGGUCGUAGGAUAGCCUCAAGUGCUAACCUCUCUGCACUUUACCUAUUAAAGUCAACGUGUCUGGUGAGAGCUCUUUGGCCAUCUUACAUGCUGCUACAUUUCCCGUAUCAGUCGACCAUGUGGCGGAAUCUAAUUGCUUAUGCUAACUUAUUCUAAUAGAAAAAUGAUAUUUGGCUACCAACAAAACACACAAAAAUGAUGGAACUGUAGCAUGAAUAGUACUGUUAUUUUGUGUGCUACCGCAAUACUAUAUCAUGAACGGUACCCAUUUUUUGUCCUGGUAAUGUCUUAAUAGUGCUCAAAUAUCAGUGCUCAGAAUAAUCAAUAUUAGCAAACAUUGUUCAAAUUUAAAAAUAUAACAUGAACUGUAAAACAAGUUAAUGGCACCGAAUUCUAGUUUCAAUUUCAAACAUUCAUGAACUUAGAAAUAUGAAGAAAAAAAAAAAUCAAAAUACAAUCCAUAAAUAUCAGUGCUCAGAAUAAUCAAUAUUAGCAAACAUUGUUCAAAUUUAAAAAUAUAACAUGAGCUGUAAAACAAGUUAUUGGCACCAAAUUCUAGUUUCAAUUUCAAACAUUCAUGAACUUAGAAAUAUGAAGAAAAAAAAAAUCAAAAUACAAUCCAUAAAACUUAUAGUAUGAACUUUAUAUAGCUCUAUUUCUUAUUUUCUAAUUUUCUCCUAAGGAAUGACAAAUAACAUAAACGGCCAGAUUAUAGAAAAUGCCAUUCACUCAAGUCCAACUGUCAAUGUCCUUCAUCACCUAAUACAUGAAAAAAAAAUUAGUCCAAUGGCUAUGUUAAAAAUUUUAAUGGACAAUUUUAAAUCGCUUUAAAUUUUAUCAAUGUUGUUUGUAAAUAAUGAUAAAAAAAAUUUCUAUAAAAAAAUAAUAAUAAAUAUAUAUUUUAUAGAGAAAAAGAAAUAUACUUCGAGAUGGAGUACAUUAUAUACGCGCACGUUUGCUGAGAGCUACAUAAAGAAACCCUAAUGGAAGUACUUUUUCAUAGUAGCUGUAGUUGUGUUAUUUAACAAUAUUUGCUUUAUGAAAAUAUAUUGCCUAAAUGUGUUUGGAAUAUUAAAUGACAAUAUUAAGUUAGAAACUUAUCAAAGUCAACGGUUCACUAAAUUUUUAGUAAAAGUUAAAAAUACACAAGCUUAACCUUCAAUAAUUAUAACCGAUUCAUUUAAAGUUUAUAGUUACAACUGUUUAUAAACUUAUCAACGGUUCUCCAAAUUUUUAGAAUAAGUUAAAAAUACACAAACUUAACCUUCAAUAAUUAUAACCGUUCCACUUACAGUUUAUAGUCACAAGUGAAAAAUUGUAUUUACACACCAUAAAUCUAUUUCUUAAAAAAUUACCACCUAACCUUUAGCAAAAGUUCAAAAUAAAAAAAUCUUCUUUACGUAUCAAUACUCUUCCAAGAGCAUAGCAUUCUUUUUGCAAAUAUACCUAAAAGUUUCUCAUAGAGUUAGAACAAAUAUGAUUCAAUCAUACAAUUGCAAAAUUUAGAUGUGCCGAUGAUAAUUUUAGAAGAUUGUGUGUACUUUUCAAACUUUCUCCAAAACUUAAGUGGACGACCGAUAAUUUUGUAAUAAGAAGGGGUUGUGAAUUUUGGAGAGUGUCCUCAUCUAAAAUAGUUUAAAAUACAGUUGAUUUAUGUGAAAAUACAUGAACAUUUCAUUAAUCUUUUUUCAAAGCCAAUUCAAAUAAUGUUUUAGAAGGAAUUUUGUUUUAAAAAAUAUUUAUAGCCAAUUUAAGCAUAAUUGUAAAUUGGAUAUAGAGCUUACCGUUGUCUCUGUCUCUUCUUGCAAUAAACAUUCGUAUGUGAGGGUCAAUAGGCAAGCCCAUGGCUUCGUACAUAGGAUCAUAGACUGUGUUUCUCAUGAAAUGCCUGAUUGUUUUAUUUGAAAAAUUUUAAAAAGAAGACUUUAAUUAAUCACUUUUGUUUUGAUAGUUAAAAAAAAAAAAAAGACUUAAAGCAGUGACUUAAACAAUAUACCUAUUAAAGGGAAAGCCAUAGCAUUGAGCCUGGCUGCCUUGCCCUUGUGAAAGCAAAUUGAGUGAAUACGGAUUUGGUAUUGCUGGGAAGUUAUCUUCCCAUGUCAUUUUCAUCUGCAUUUUUUUGGGUGAAAAUGAAAAAUAACAUGAAUAACUAAUGUAAUAAAAGCAUAUAUAAAAAUAAACCAAGAAAAAAAGAAGAAGAUAUUAAUGGAGCAACUAUUCCAAAUAGAUGUAUAUCUACUAUCAGUCUUUCCAAAUAAAAAGUAGUUAAAAGAUAAAUUUUUUAGAUGAUUUUGCAAUAAAACAACAAUUACAAAAAUUUUGAAAAUUGAGACGUUUUUUAUAAUUAUAAGAAUGAAGGAUAAAAUUUUCAAUAAAAUUAUCAAAGUUUGCACUUUAAUUAUUUUAUGGUUUGCUAAAGAAUAAUAAAUUUACAUCAUACUAAAUAGAGUUAUGUUCAGAUGUAGAUGUCCACACAAAAUUUCUUACAGACACACAUCUUUAUGAAAAUACGAGUCUACAACUGAACAUUUUCAAUAUUACAUAUGUAAUUAUGUAUCAGAGUAAUUUUAUUGUUAGAGUUUUCGAAUCAUGCAAUUAAGCAUACCUUGCCAUUGGAAUCGGUUGGAUUAAUGCCUUCUAACUGAGGGGGAAGCGACAAUCCCAUGUCAAGACCAGUUCUCUACCAGCAAAGUUGUGCAAUUUUAAGAACUAAAAAAUAAUCUAUAAUUUCAUUUUAAACUAAUAAAAUGAACGAACUAUUACCUUCUCAAUUGCCUUGUUUUGUAACUCAAUUGGAUCAUAGCUAUUUGAUCCAAUUGGUGCUUGACCCAACAAAUUUUGGAAUCUGUACUGUUGUGGCCUAAUUAAAAGAGAAAACCAAACUAGUUUACAUAUAUUGUUUACAAAUAUUUAUACAAAAUAUUUUUAAGUCCUCACAUAUCACAUCGGCAAGCAUUUUAGUAUGAUAGGACGCUUUUUUUUUUUUUUUUUGAGAAGUCGUGAAAUAAUUGCUUCUUAUUGAUUUUCAAAAUCAAAAUAAUUAAAACUGAGGUUGCAUUCAGGGGAACCGAAUUCGUGACUUUGAUUCCAGGUACUAUUUUAGAAAAAAAAAAUUACCAGAAAAGCAUUAGCUAAUACUAAUAAAUAUUAAACAUUCAUUCAUCUAUUAAUUUUUUAAGGAAAAUAGAUCAUGCAAUUAAUUUAAACAUUUGACUUAAGUAGGUAUUAAAAUUAAUUAAACGUCUAUCUUAUUUAAUUGCAAUUCAUUGCAAGUUUAGAGAAAAUACCCAAAUGUAGCAGCAGAAGGGUCAUGAAUUGGGAGCUCAUGUUGGCACUGGCGACUACUCCACUGCGUAAAGCCAGACCUACGCCCUGAUGUUGUCUAUAUAAAUAUAAAUUCAAAAUAGUUAUACCAUUAAUAAGAAAAAAAUAAUAAUAUUAAUUUAUUCUCCUUCAAAUGUUGUAUCUUUUAAUACAAGUGUCAAAACCAAUCAACCUUGACGCUACGUUAUUAAACUAUAAAGGGAAAUGUAAUAUAAUGUGGAAAUAAAAUAUAUAAAAUCACGUAAAAUAUUUGAGAAUCUGACCGAUAUUGGAGAUUGAAGCGUAGGAGCAGUUCUAGAAGAAGAAUCCAAACGAAAAAGUGAUGGCAAAUUUGAUGGAAUUUGAUAAUUGUUGCCACGAUGAUUCCUCGCAUUAUUCAUGUCUUGCUCAGGAAUAUCAAGUGAUUGAAACAUUCUUCCUCCUGGUUGUGCCGUUGACGCCUCACCCUAUAAAAAAAAAAAAAAAAUUAUAUAUAUAUUAUAAUGGUUAAAUUUUUUAUUAUUAACUAACCUGCAGAGAGGUCUGGCCAAUUAGGUUUUAAGUAACAUUAUUUAAUUGACCAUCUAAAUUUAAAUUUUGAGAAGAUAGAGAGUUGGAAAAAAAUUAUUUAAAAUUUGUCCACAUCUCUAU
rnacentral:lncRNA from 1 species